GGGCGUUUCUGGGGGUGGAUCCUCUUCUUUGUCGUCCAUGGGCGUUGAAGAUUUUCUAAUUCAUCUGUCAAAAAAUCAUGAAACGACGUCGUUUAAUUAAAAUUAAAACGACGUCGUCUCGAUCAAUUGCCGGCGAUGACACGCUGGAAUUCCGAUUGCCACCUCGGAUUCAAUUUCGCCGGAAAAUAGACGCGGGGGAAAAAUGCAAUAAAUUGUUCAAUUCAUGGAUUUCUGUUCAGGUUUUUUUUGUCAUGGGAAAAAACCAAAUUUCGAAAAAGUAUAUGGUUUUUCCGGCAAUUAACCCU
rnacentral:lncRNA from 1 species